rnacentral:miRNA from 1 species
AUGACAGAAGAGAGAGAGUAC